rnacentral:rRNA from 1 species
GAUGAACGCUGGCGGCGUGCUUAACACAUGCAAGUCGAACGGAAAGGCUCCUGCUUGCAGGGGUACUCGAGUGGCGAACGGGUGAGUAACACGUGGGUGAUCUGCCCUGCACUUCGGGAUAAGCCUGGGAAACUGGGUCUAAUACCGGAUAGGACGAUGGUUUGGAUGCCAUUGUGGAAAGUUUUUCGGUGUGGGAUGAGCUCGCGGCCUAUCAGCUUGUUGGUGGGGUAAUGGCCUACCAAGGCGUCGACGGGUAGCCGGCCUGAGAGGGUGUACGGCCACAUUGGGACUGAGAUACGGCCCAGACUCCUACGGGAGGCAGCAGUGGGGAAUAUUGCACAAUGGGCGCAAGCCUGAUGCAGCGACGCCGCGUGGGGGAUGACGGCCUUCGGGUUGUAAACUCCUUUCGCUAGGGACGAAGCGCAAGUGACGAUACCUGGAGAAGAAGCACCGGCUAACUACGUG